rnacentral:tRNA from 1 species
AAAAAGGUGGCCGAGUGGUUAAGGCGAUGGACUGGUAAUCCAUUGGGCUCUGCCAGCGUGGGUUCGAGUCCCACCCUCGUCG